GAACGGAGAGGCGGGUGGCUGGGAUGAAAAGACGAGCAGGGGUGCAAGGCAGGGGGCGGUGUGGAGGAGAACUGGGGGUCGGAGCACCGAGGUACUCCAGGUCUGGCUGAACCUGCAAAAGAGAAAUGCUGGAGCUGAUGGCGCCCUGAGGGCUCCCUAUCGCAAACACUAGAGGGCAGCGCUGUCCGCGUUAUAACCGGGGCCGACCGGGCUGGAGGUGUGGGUGAGGGACCCAGCUCCUGAGCCCGUUGCAGGCCGCGGCCCAGGCGGAGAAGGGGACAGCUGAUUCAGAGGCAGACCCUAGUCCCCUGCUCUGUGGCGAGCCUGCGCCGGGGAGGGAGAGGAAGAGAGGGGUAGCUGACGGGUUCGGACGGUUUCUCUCAGAGGCUCCUCCAGGCAAACCCUCUGGAGUUUGGCAACUCUAAACCAAAUGAAAUUCUCUUCAAUUCAAAAAGCAAGCCUGUGUGCCCUUCUUGCCUUCUGGAGUGCCCCUUAAGACCAGCAGGGCUGAGUGAGGGGUGUGAGGGGAAGUUCACUGAAGAAGAGAAAGGAAGAUGGAGAAACUGAGGCUCUGUGAUGGGAAGUGAGUUUUCCAGGAUCCUGUGGCUGGUAAGUGGCAAUAAUAUUCUGUUUUGGGGUU